rnacentral:lncRNA from 1 species
GGCAGCUGACCUAGCAUCAUCCACAGAAGCAACAAAUCCUACCUCCCUAUUCGUGUCCACUUCAAUUUCUUUCUUUCCAUCUAUUUCUUUCACCGAGUCCAACUUAGAAUCAGCUAAUUUACCCUCUGAAACAUCCUCCUCCAUGGAAUCCUCACCAGGACUUCGGUCUAGUUGCAACUUCUCUGAGCCCAACUUAGAAUCAGCUAAUUUACCCUCUGAAACAUCCUCCUCCAUGUAAUCCUCACCAGGACUUCGGUCUAAUUGCAACUUCUCUGCAGAAUUCCCAUUGCCAUCCGUCUUCAUUAUAUCAACAUAUUUAUCAUUUUUGUUGCCUGGUUCUUCUGUA